GCGAUUUCGGUCAAAUCAUGUGGCAUUCGAGUGGCGGACGGGUGAGUAACGCGUGGGUAACCUGCCUUACACAGGGGGAUAACACCUGGAAACAGGUGCUAAUACCGCAUAAGCGCACAGGGCCGCAUGGCCCGGUGUGAAAAACUCCGGUGGUGUAAGAUGGACCCGCGUCUGAUUAGCUUGUUGGCGGGGUAGGGGCCCACCAAGGCGACGAUCAGUAGCCGGCCUGAGAGGGUGGACGGCCACAUUGGGACUGAGACACGGCCCAAACUCCUACGGGAGGCAGCAGUGGGGGAUAUUGGACAAUGGGGGAAACCCUGAUCCAGCGACGCCGCGUGAGUGAAGAAGUAUUUCGGUAUGUAAAGCUCUGUCAGCAGGGAAGAAAGAAAUGACGGUACCUGACCAAGAAGCCCCGGCUAACUACGUGCCAGCAGCCGCGGUAAUACGUAGGGGGCAAGCGUUAUCCGGAAUUACUGGGUGUAAAGGGAGCGUAGACGGUGAUGCAAGUCUGGAGUGAAAGGCGGGGGCCCAACCCCCGGACUGCUCUGGAAACUGUGUAACUUGAGUGCAGGAGAGGUAAGCGGAAUUCCUAGUGUAGCGGUGAAAUGCGUAGAUAUUAGGAGGAACACCAGUGGCGAAGGCGGCUUACUGGACUGUAACUGACGUUGAGGCUCGAAAGCGUGGGGAGCAAACAGGAUUAGAUACCCUGGUAGUCCACGCCGUAAACGAUGAUUACUAGGUGUCGGUGGGUAUGGACCCACCGGUGCCGCAGCAAACGCAGUAAGUAAUCCACCUGGGGAGUACGUUCGCAAGAAUGAAACUCAAAGGAAUUGACG
rnacentral:rRNA from 1 species